GCAGUCGAACGAAACUUUCUUACACCGAAUGCUUGCAUUCACCGUAAGAAGUUGAGUGGCGGACGGGUGAGUAACACGUGGGUAACCUGCCUAAAAGAAGGGGAUAACACUUGGAAACAGGUGCUAAUACCGUAUAUCUCUAAGGAUCGCAUGAUCCUUAGAUGAAAGAUGGUUCUGCUAUCGCUUUUAGAUGGACCCGCGGCGUAUUAACUAGUUGGUGGGGUAACGGCCUACCAAGGUGAUGAUACGUAGCCGAACUGAGAGGUUGAUCGGCCACAUUGGGACUGAGACACGGCCCAAACUCCUACGGGAGGCAGCAGUAGGGAAUCUUCCACAAUGGACGCAAGUCUGAUGGAGCAACGCCGCGUGAGUGAAGAAGGUCUUCGGAUCGUAAAACUCUGUUGUUAGAGAAGAACACGAGUGAGAGUAACUGUUCAUUCGAUGACGGUAUCUAACCAGCAAGUCACGGCUAACUACGUGCCAGCAGCCGCGGUAAUACGUAGGUGGCAAGCGUUGUCCGGAUUUAUUGGGCGUAAAGGGAACGCAGGCGGUCUUUUAAGUCUGAUGUGAAAGCCUUCGGCUUAACCGGAGUAGUGCAUUGGAAACUGGAAGACUUGAGUGCAGAAGAGGAGAGUGGAACUCCAUGUGUAGCGGUGAAAUGCGU
rnacentral:rRNA from 2 species